AAGCGAAGAACUUACCAAGGCUUAAAUGUAGAUUGACCGGUUUGGAAACAGAUCUUUCGCAAGACAAUUUACAAGGUGCUGCAUGGUUGUCGUCAGCUCGUGCCGUGAGGUGUCAGGUUAAGUCCUAUAACGAGCGCAACCCUUAUCUUUAGUUGCCAGCGAGUAAUGUCGGGGACUUUAAAGAGACUGCCCGUGUAAACGGGAGGAAGGUGGGGAUGACGUCAAAUCAUCACGGCCCUUACGUCCAGGGCUACACACGUGCUACAAUGGUGAGUACAGAUGGUUGCUACUUGGUGACAAGUUUGCUAAUCUAUAAACUCAUCUCAGUUCGGAUUGAAGUCUGAAACUCGACUUCAUGAAGUUGGAAUCGCUAGUAAUCGCAUAUCAGCCAUGAUGCGGUGAAUACGUUCCCGGGUCUUGUACACACCGAAU
rnacentral:rRNA from 1 species